UACGAAGGGGGCUAGCGUUGCUCGGAAUUACUGGGCGUAAAGGGAGCGUAGGCGGAUAGUUUAGUCAGAGGUGAAAGCCCAGGGCUCAACCUUGGAAUUGCCUUUGAUACUGGCUAUCUUGAGUACGGAAGAGGUAUGUGGAACUCCGAGUGUAGAGGUGAAAUUCGUAGAUAUUCGGAAGAACACCAGUGGCGAAGGCGGCUCUCUGGACCACAACUGACGCUGAGGCGCGAAAGCGUGGGGAGCAAACAGG
rnacentral:rRNA from 1 species